rnacentral:rRNA from 1 species
GCUAUCACUCUGGGAUGGACCUGCGGUGCAUUAGCUAGUUGGUAAGGUAACGGCUUACCAAGGCGAUGAUGCAUAGCCGAGUUGAGAGACUGAUCGCCCACAAUGGAACUGAGACACGGUCCAUACUCCUACGGGAGGCAGCAGUAGGGAAUCUUCCACAAUGGGCGCAAGCCUGAUGGAGCAACACCGCGUGAGUGAAGAAGGGUUUCGGCUCGUAAAGCUCUGUUGUUGGAGAAGAACGUGCGUGAGAGUAACUGUUCACGCAGUGACGGUAUCCAACCAGAAAGUCACGGCUAACUACGUGCCAGCAGCCGCGGUAAUACGUAGGUGGCAAGCGUUAUCCGGAUUUAUUGGGCGUAAAGCGAGCGCAGGCGGUUGCUUAGGUCUGAUGUGAAAGCCUUCGGCUUAACCGAAGAAGUGCAUCGGAAACCGGGCAACUUGAGUGCAGAAGAGGACAGUGGAACUCCAUGUGUAGCGGUGGAAUGCGUAGAUAUAUGGAAGAACACCAGUGGCGAAGGCGGCUGUCUGGUCUGCAACUGACGCUGAGGCUCGAAAGCAUGGGUAGCGAACAGGAUUAGAUACCCUGGUAGUCCAUGCCGUAAACGAUGAGUGCUAGGUGUUGGAGGGUUUCCGCCCUUCA